rnacentral:lncRNA from 1 species
UUUCUCGUGUUUUGGAUGUUUCUCUGUAUGAAUUCGAUAUUGAGAAGACAUGCGUAAACCAAACUAAAUGUAUAAAAAAUAAGUUAAGCAAUUGAAAAUCAUGGUUUACAACUUACAACAAAGGAAAAUAACACCAAUCGUCAUAUCACCUAUUGCCACUCUUACAGCUGCAGCUCUAAAUGCAAAGCUGACGAUUGAAGUUUUGAAGUACAAUUAUAUCCUUACUGAUCAAACACGCUGGAUACUUUCUUUUGUAUGAGCUCCACAGUUAGCCGGGGAGACAGCCUCGGAAGUAUUUCCUGUAAUAUGAGUAGUCACAUUUACGUCAGUUCAUGUUAUUCCAAACAAUGAAGCCUGUAGAAUAAUAAAACACCAAGGGGGUAACUCUCACAAAUAAUGCAUCAUCACAAAUUCACAAUGAUUGAAAUAUCUAUCAGAUACCAAUAAGGAAUGGUCUUUAGGCGAGCUGGAAAGUAGGAGAGAAUUCCUUGUCUUCACCAUCGGAUUAUCUUUAAAAAAAAUUGCUGAUUUGUCUGGAGUGAUCUUAUUAUAAGCGCGUGCACGUCGAGGCACAAAUGCGUGGUAAGCCUCUAUCAAGUUUGUGCUGGCCAAACAUAUCCUGAUAUGAUUAAUAGUUCUUCAUCGAACAACGAAGCUAUGAUUUUAUUAUUUGUGGCGAUUAUACCAACUACAGUGAACCAGCGAAGCAUAACCUCUGUCUGCUUUCGUUCAUCGAAUUGAGACAUUGAUAUAGCCACAUGUUGGAUACUGGUAUCAUAAUUUGGCUCUGUGCAAGCUUGCAUUGCGUAGCUGAAAACAUGGCAGAAAGGGUAAGUCGCGAGCGGAUCAAUGGGUACCUCGGUGCCGUCGGGGAGCACCUUGGCCAGCACCGGGAUCUCGUACUGGUACAGCC